rnacentral:rRNA from 1 species
UUAGGAAUUUUGCACAAUGGGCGAAAGCCUGAUGCAGCAACGCCGCGUGGGCGAUGAAGGUCUUCGGAUCGUAAAGCCCUUUUCUAGGGGAAGAGGCAGGACGGUACCCUAGGAAUAAGCCUCGGCUAACUACGUGCCAGCAGCCGCGGUAAUACGUAGGAGGCGAGCGUUGUCCGGAUUUAUUGGGCGUAAAGAGCGCGUAGGUGGCUUAGCAAGUUGGGUGUGAAAUCCCUUGGCUCAACUGAGGGGGGUCAUCCGAUACUGUUAGGCUUGAGGCAGGCAGAGGAAGGUAGAAUUCCCGGUGUAGUGGUGAAAUGCGUAGAUAUCGGGAGGAAUACCAGUGGCGAAGGCGGCCUUCUGGGCCUGUCCUGACGCUGAGGCGCGAAAGCGUGGGGAGCGAACCGG